UCAAGAAUUUCCCCUUUAAUCAAUGAUAUCAAGUGAUAAAGAGCCCAAUACCCACAACUUUGUAAGUACUCCAUAAAUAUUAAAUGCUCCUUUCAAAGUCCACAUCUACUCCUCUUCCUACAAGAAGCUUCUCCUCCUCAAUCCAAUCUGCUUCUCUUCUGUAAUGGCUAUUGGACAUCUAGUUUAGGUUAUCUUUUAUUGUUAUCUUGUAACCUUCACCUCAUUGUAACCCUCAAGCACAGGCUAUCAGAGCUCUGUGUUUCCAUCAGUAUGUAUAGCAUCCUGUCCCAUAGAUAGUAAGAGCUUAAUCCCUCACAUUGAUGAUACUGUGGCAUCACCAGAAUGUGGUCCUUAGCUCCAAACAUGCUUACAUCACUGGCUCACCUUUUAACCACCAUGCAGCAAAAUUCCAGAAAUGCAAGACUUUUAGAUGAAGAAAGGGAUAAGAGGAGGAAGGUGAACAUGUAUUUAUUGGCUACCUUCUUAUACAAGGUCUGCAGACCUUCUGUUAUCAAUGAGACACCAAACUCCCAAGAAACAAAAAUGGCACCGUGCCUUGCCAUUUAACUUGCAUAUGUCUCUUAUCAUGUUCCAACUCUGACAUAACCACUGAGGGGGUGAAUGCAUAGGAAUGCGUGCAGAACCAGACCCAGUGAGAGAAGCAGCAAGUGAUGCUGAGUAGAAGAGAGAAAGAAGGGGUGCCCCCCAGGGCCCAUACCUGUCUAGGGCCAUGGUACUGCUUUAAAGGUAUUUGUAAUACAUGUAAACUAAAAUGCCGACUUCAUGCU